UUUAGGGUUGGGUCAUUGCAUUGAUUGGGAGGCUCUACAAGUGGCUCGCUUAGCUGUCAGGGUUCGGGUACUGAUUGGCACGAAACUGUGGAACUGAUUUUACACCAUAAUAGGUUCCAUGUAUACAGAACUCACACUGGAUUUAUGUUCGACAUUCUUUUUAUAGCUGGCCAUAUCAUGUUAGGAUGAGCAUUAUGCUAUAUCUUUCCAACUUAGGGGUAUGACAAGUUACUUGAGCGUCCCAGGUGUCGAAGUUUCCCUUGGACUUUAUUCCUAUGAGUUUAUGAGUACCUCUAAGUUCCCGACACUGUUCAGACACAUCCAUCAACCAACCUCACUCUGUUGGUCUGACAUUUUUGGGACUGAGUUGCAAUAUAACCCGAGUAAGUAGAAAGUGCUAUGCUUACCUCUGGCUUUGAGCUACAUUUAUGCCAUUUUGGCCUGUAGAUUAACUAGUCAGAGGGAGAGCACAAGGGUUAUCGGUACUUCAGGCGCAUAUUUUUUGUGGAGUAUUAGAGACGCGCCACCCGAUUGAUGUCGCUUACUUCGUGGCUCUCUAUUGUUUCCACCAAUCUGAUCGGAACAGGAAGAGCCUUAUCUGUAUGGGUCCUUACGUGACUCGUUUAGCGAGGUAUUUCGGGCUCCUCGACAUUCCGGAGCAGACUUUAUCCUUCUCUUUGGUUGGAUAGAUGGUCCCACAGAGACUAUCUAUUAUGAGCCACAUGCAAAUGAUUUAACGCCAGCACAGAGUGGGUUCACAUCGAUAUACUUUAUUUCAUUCGGAUCCUUAUCAUGAGUAUGCGGAGCUCCCGGAUGAUGACCCACCUCGACGUGCAGGCCCAACUCGAUCCUCUUCUUUUUUGAGUCACUCCACUACUGCAGAUUCAGUCAUGCUUGAGGAUAUUUAUCGCAUACAACAGCAAUAAUCUAAGGGAAUCGACUACCUUAAGUAGCGGCAGUCAGAGUGGCUCGAUCGCUUUAAGUAGUGACAUUUGGAGCACUUCAGCCAGCUUCAGCGUCAGUAGGAUCGCAUCAAAUCCUAUAUACAGUAGAUGUGCCAGCAUUUUCACAUUUCUUCACCUGAUCCCACUAUUGUACCUAUGCCUCGCAAUCCUGACAACCUACAUGAUGUCGAUCACUAACUUUAUUUAGUUUUAUGUUUUAUUUUUAUUUGUACUUUUAUUUUUAUUAUUAGUUGUUUUUAUUUUAUUUUAUUUUUAAGACUUAUAUGUUUUGUUUUGUUAUACAUUGUACUUUUUGCAAUGUCCUGAAUUUCUUAAAUUAUGGAAUGUGGAAUUAUGUCAUAUAAGUUAAUAUGGCAUAGUGGUUGGGUUUUGUGACUA
rnacentral:lncRNA from 1 species